UCCUGUGCUGUCAAUCUUUUCUUACACCUCCGAAAACAAUGGCUUUUCACUCAACCUUUCAUUGAGCUUUUCCACAACACUGCUCAAAGUUGUUCAAACUUAGACAGGAUCUAUGAUCUAAUGGACUUCUUAAGGAAGCAAAGAUCCUUCAAGCAUCAGAGCCAGGGACCUAAAAAACUCAACAACCUGAUAAAGAAGGCUGGUUCUGUUCUGGUUCUGUUCUGAUUCUGCUCUGGGGACGACUGCGAAACCUCUGGAGAUGAUUAUGCAAAGAAUGAUUCUUCAUAAAAUCAAGAAGAGGAUGGACAACUGUGACCAUCCUCUUCUUGAAACUGUCUUGGGAAAACGGAGUGUCUUCAGUCAGAGGCUUCUUCAGAGUCACUGCAAUACAGACCGCUACAAGAAAUAUUUCCUGCCAACAGCCAUCAGUAUCUAGAAUAACUCUUUUAAGAAAUAAUUAAUCACAAUAACAUUUAAUUCCCUUUGGGAUGAAUAAAGUAUUUUUGGAUUUGAAUAUUUGUAUGUUUUUCUGGGCCAUGAUAAUUGCUGACCAACCUGAAGCAGUGUCCAGUGUUUGGAAGGAGGUUUKUCUUUAA